AUUGAACGCUGGCGGCAUGCCUUACACAUGCAAGUCGAACGGCAGCACGGGAGCAAUCCUGGUGGCGAGUGGCGAACGGGUGAGUAAUAUAUCGGAACGUGCCCAGUCGUGGGGGAUAACGUAGCGAAAGCUACGCUAAUACCGCAUACGAUCUAUGGAUGAAAGCGGGGGAUCGCAAGACCUCGCGCGAUUGGAGCGGCCGAUAUCAGAUUAGGUAGUUGGUGAGGUAAAGGCUCACCAAGCCGACGAUCUGUAGCUGGUCUGAGAGGACGACCAGCCACACUGGGACUGAGACACGGCCCAGACUCCUACGGGAGGCAGCAGUGGGGGAAUUUUUGGGACAAUGGGCGCAAGCCUGAUCCAGCAAUGCCGCGUGCAGGAUGAAGGCCUCGGUU
rnacentral:rRNA from 1 species